AACCAGCACCUCAAGUGGUCAGGAUGAUUAUUGGGCCUAAAGCAUCCGUAGCCGGCUCUGUAAGUUUUCGGUUAAAUCUGUACGCUCAACGUACAGGCUGCCGGGAAUACUGCAGAGCUAGGGAGUGGGAGAGGUAGACGGUACUCGGUAGGAAGGGGUAAAAUSCUUUGAUCUAUUGAUGACCACCUGUGGCGAAGGCGGUCUACCAGAACACGUCCGACGGUGAGGGAUGAAAGCUGGGGGAGCAAACCGGAUUAGAUACCCGGGUAGUCCCAGCUGUAAACUAUGCAAACUCAGUGAUGCAUUGGCUUGUGGCCAAUGCAGUGCUGCAGGGAAGCCGUUAAGUUUGCCGCCUGGGAAGUACGUACGCAAGUAUGAAACUUAA
rnacentral:rRNA from 1 species